GGCAUGGUGGCUCAGUGGUUAGAGCGCCCCCCUCAUGAACGGGAGGUUGUGGGUUCGAAUCCCGGCCGAGUAA
rnacentral:tRNA from 1 species